rnacentral:lncRNA from 1 species
AGCGAGGCAUUACCAUCUUGACAUGACCCGUCUUCAAAUAAUUGGUAAAACCGUAGCUUCCUCCAAUGAAUGGAGCGCGGCAAGAGAGUUUGGUUACUUGUCACCUCGCUAGUGCAUUUGCCUACCUUGAGAGGAAACUGGAAUUUUAGUGAGAUUUUACUUAACUGGUUGCAGCGUAGAUUCAUGACCACUAGCAAGAGAGUGCAAGAUAGGAGCAAGGACAACUGGAGUUUUAGUGAGAUUUUGAUGGAAAUGUUGAAGAAGGAACCCGAGAUGAUAAU